UACGUAGGGUGCGAGCGUUGUCCGGAAUUAUUGGGCGUAAAGAGCUCGUAGGCGGUCUGUCGCGUCGGUCGUGAAAACUUGGGGCUUAACCCUGAGCUUGCGGUCGAUACGGGCAUGACUGGAGUUCGGCAGGGGAGACUGGAAUUCCUGGUGUAGCGGUGAAAUGCGCAGAUAUCAGGAAGAACACCCGUGGCGAAAGCGGCUCUCUGGAACGGUACUGACGCUGAGACGCGAAAGCGUGGGGAGCGAACAGG
rnacentral:rRNA from 1 species